rnacentral:snRNA from 1 species
GUUCUCACUUCGGCAGCACAUACACUAAAAUCGGAGUGAUACAGAGAAGAUUAGCAUGGCCCCUGCACAAGGAGGACAUGCAAAUUCAUGGAGCAUUCCAUAUUUAA